AACUGAACUCUCUGACUCCCAAUUACCUGGAGCCACCUGGGCUUCCAACUGAACUCUCUGACUCCUAAUUACCUGGAGCCACCUGGGCUUCCAACCGAACUCUCUGACUCCCAAUUACCUGGAGCCACCUGGGCUUCCAGCUGAACUCUCUUGACUCCCAAUUACCUGGAGCCACCUGGGCUUCCAGCUGAACUCUCUGACUCUCUCUAACAGACGGCUGUGGUGAAGCCAAACGAUGCUCUACAUUAGCAACAACUGUGAAGUUGAGGUUCAGACGCAGUCAGACUACACUGUCACUUUAAGGUUGUCAAUACGGAGUCGAUGUUGUGUUGAACAGCUUCUCGGUGGGAGAAUGUUCCAUAAUAAAUUACUACUUGACUUUUUACUAGCUGCUCUGAAAGAGGAAGACGAGCCAAACAAUCUAACAACUGAUCUUCUGGACUAGACUGAACCCUGCUAAUGUGGAAGUCAUUCAUGAAUGAGUGAUUACUUCAAUGCGGUUAUUUUAACAGGUAGAUCUGUAAUACUAAGCGGUUAACAGUAGACCUGGAGUGUACAGUGUAAUGUUGAGAAGAGACUUUACACUGAGUGGACAAACAUUAAAAACACCUUCCUAAUAUUGAGUUGAAUCCCAUUUUCCCCCUCAGAACAGCCUCAAUUCAUCAGGACAUGGACUCUACCAGGUGUAGAAAGCGUUCCACAGGGAUGCUGGUCCAUGUUGACUCCAAUGCUUCCCCACAGUUGUGUCAAGUUGGCCGGAUGUCCUUUGGGUGGUGGAACAUUCUUGAUUCACACGGGAAACUGUGGAGAUUGAAAAACCCAGCAGCGUUGCAGUUCUUGACACAAACCGGUGCGCCUGGCACCUACUACCAUACCCCGUUCAAAAGGCACUUAAAACCACACACACACAAUCCAUGUCUCAACUGUCUAAAAGCUUAAAAAUCCUCCUUUAACUCGUCUCCUCCCCUUCAUCUACACUGAUUUGAAGUGGAUUUAACAGAUGUCAUCAAUAAGGGAUCAUAUCCUUCACCUGGAUUCACCUGGUCAGUCUGUCAUGGAAAGAGAACAGGUGUUCUUAAUGUUUUGUCAACUCAGUCUGUACUCUUCUUUCUCACCUUGUUUGUUUCAAAACGUCACUAUAUAUAGAAUCAUGAUGAGUCUGUCUGUUUGAGGACGAGUCCUGAUCGAUGCAGCAGGACAUGAUGUACCAAAUCUAAUGUCGUAGAUGGUAAAUGAACCAUUCAGAGUGAAAAACGCUCAAUGGUUAAAAAAAAAAAGUUAUUUAAACUUUGAUUUCUACCUUUUUUGUUGUUAUUUAUCAUAACAUGGAGUUACAAGAGCUGCCAAUUUGUAGGUUUCCACUUUUACCUGUCCUCUCUUCACCUGGGAAUAAUCUGUUACCUUCAGGCACACUACUGAGCCAACACAUAGACACACUGCAGCUCUUCUACAACCACGUCUGGCUGAGAUGCAAAACAAUAAAGAUUCUCCAAUGGUCCUGGUAUUAGAUAGACAGCCACAGGAGUCUGGUUCAUCCUGAACAACGACUUUGGAGACUCUUAAUACCUAGCUGGCAUUUACCCAAGGGUUCAGUCUGUAAACCUCUCCCCUGAACUUAACAAUGGCUCUGCAUGCCAUUGUAGAGAGACUGUGAUUUUUUUUUACUAGGUGUGUGACUGUGUAUUGGGCAAUAGGAUUAAAGAGUUUAUGUUAUUUUAUUUUCCAGACCCUGAAACAGUGGUCGCUGUUCUUCUGUAAUAUAUUCACUCUGAUAAGAGCUUUGUGUAUUCUGCACUAACUGUCUGUACAGUCAAAAUAAAGCCUUGUUUACUAAUACCUAGACUGGGUUUGGUUUGGAGCUGGAGAGAGAGAGAGAGAGAGAGAGGGGAAGGAGAGAGAGAGAGAGAGAGAGCAGCACACAGGUUGGAUUCCUGCUGGACUACGCUGCUGACGCACGCCAGAUCUACAAAUACCUGGAUAGGUAGUUAAGGUAUCAGCUAACCACAUCAUCUGAUACCUGGAUAGGUAGUUAACAUAUCAGCUAAC
rnacentral:lncRNA from 1 species